rnacentral:tRNA from 1 species
GUGGCUGUGGCUCAGUGGUAGAGUACCUGCCUAGUAAGUAUGAGGCACUGGGUCCGACCCUCAGCACCACA